rnacentral:rRNA from 1 species
GACGAACGCUGGCGGCGUGCUUAACACAUGCAAGUCGAACGGAAAGGCCCUGCUUUUGUGGGGUGCUCGAGUGGCGAACGGGUGAGUAACACGUGAGUAACCUGCCCUUGACUUUGGGAUAACUUCAGGAAACUGGGGCUAAUACCGGAUAGGAGCUCCUGCUGCAUGGUGGGGGUUGGAAAGUUUCGGCGGUUGGGGAUGGACUCGCGGCUUAUCAGCUUGUUGGUGGGGUAGUGGCUUACCAAGGCUUUGACGGGUAGCCGGCCUGAGAGGGUGACCGGCCACAUUGGGACUGAGAUACGGCCCAGACUCCUACGGGAGGCAGCAGUGGGGAAUAUUGCACAAUGGGCGGAAGCCUGAUGCAGCAACGCCGCGUGCGGGAUGACGGCCUUCGGGUUGUAAACCGCUUUCGCCUGUGACGAAGCGUGAGUGACGGUAAUGGGUAAAGAAGCACCGGCUAACUACGUGCCAGCAGCCGCGGUGAUACGUAGGGUGCGAGCGUUGUCCGGAUUUAUUGGGCGUAAAGGGCUCGUAGGUGGUUGAUCGCGUCGGAAGUGUAAUCUUGGGGCUUAACCCUGAGCGUGCUUUCGAUACGGGUUGACUUGAGGAAGGUAGGGGAGAAUGGAAUUCCUGGUGGAGCGGUGGAAUGCGCAGAUAUCAGGAGGAACACCAGUGGCGAAGGCGGUUCUCUGGGCCUUUCCUGACGCUGAGGAGCGAAAGCGUGGGGAGCGAACAGGCUUAGAUACCCUGGUAGUCCACGCUGUAAACGGUGGGUACUAGGUGUGGGGUCCAUUCCACGGGUUCCGUGCCGUAGCUAACGCUUUAAGUACCCCGCCUGGGGAGUACGGCCGCAAGGCUAAAACUCAAAGGAAUUGACGGGGCCCCGCACAAGCGGCGGAGCAUGCGGAUUAAUUCGAUGCAACGCGUAGAACCUUACCUGGGUUUGACAUGGAUCGGGAGUGCUCAGAGAUGGGUGUGCCUCUUUUGGGGUCGGUUCACAGGUGGUGCAUGGCUGUCGUCAGCUCGUGUCGUGAGAUGUUGGGUUAAGUCCCGCAACGAGCGCAACCCUUGUUCACUGUUGCCAGCACGUUAUGGUGGGGACUCAGUGGAGACCGCCGGGGUCAACUCGGAGGAAGGUGGGGAUGACGUCAAGUCAUCAUGCCCCUUAUGUCCAGGGCUUCACGCAUGCUACAAUGGCUGGUACAGAGAGUGGCGAGCCUGUGAGGGUGAGCGAAUCUCGGAAAGCCGGUCUCAGUUCGGAUUGGGGUCUGCAACUCGACCUCAUGAAGUCGGAGUCGCUAGUAAUCGCAGAUCAGCAACGCUGCGGUGAAUAGUUUCCCGGG